CUUUCGAAAGAAAGAUUAAUACCCGAUGGUAUAAUAUUCCUGCAUGGGAUUAUUAUUAAAGAAUUUCGGUUAUCGAUGGGGAUGCGUUCCAUUAGGCAGUUGGCGGGGUAACGGCCCACCAAACCUUCGAUGGAUAGGGGUUCUGAGAGGAAGGUCCCCCACACUGGAACUGAGACACGGUCCAGACUCCUACGGGAGGCAGCAGUGAGGAAUAUUGGUCAAUGGACGCAAGUCUGAACCAGCCAAGUAGCGUGAAGGAUGACUGCCCUAUGGGUUGUAAACUUCUUUUAUAUGGGAAUAAAACACUCCACGUGUGGAGCUUUGUAUGUACCAUUAUGAAUAAGCAUCGGCUAACUCCGUGCCAGCAGCCGCGGUAAUACGGAGGAUGCGAGCGUUAUCCGGAUUUAUUGGGUUUAAAGGGAGCGUAGGUGGAUUGAUAAGUCAGCCUGUGAAAGUUUGCGGCUCAACCGUAAAAUUGCAGUUGAUACUGUCAGUCUUGAGUACAGUAGAGGUUAGCGGAAUUCGUGGUGUAGCGGUGAAAUGCUUAGAUAUCACGAAGAACUCCAAUUGCGAAGGCAGCUGACUAGACUGUAACUGACACUGAGGCUCGAAAGUGUGGGUAUCAAACAGGAUUAGAUACCCCUGGUAGUCCACACAGUAAACGAUGAAUACUCGCUGUUUGCGA
rnacentral:rRNA from 1 species